GACGAACGCUGGCGGCGUGCUUAACACAUGCAAGUCGAACGGAAAGGCCCUGCUUUUGUGGGGUGCUCGAGUGGCGAACGGGUGAGUAACACGUGAGUAACCUGCCCUUGACUUUGGGAUAACUUCAGGAAACUGGGGCUAAUACCGGAUAGGAGCUCCUGCUGCAUGGUGGGCGUUGGAAAGUUUCGGCGGUUGGGGAUGGACUCGCGGCUUAUCAGCUUGUUGGUGGGGUAGUGGCUUACCAAGGCUUUGACGGGUAGCCGGCCUGAGAGGGGGACCGGCCACCUUGGGACUGAGGGACGGCCCAGACGCGUACGGGAGGCAGCAGUGGGGAGUAUUGCGCAGUGGGCGGAAGCCUGUGGCAGCAGCGCCGCGUGCGGGAUGACGGGCUUCUGGUGGUAAACCGCUGUCGCCGGUGACGAAGCGGGAGUGACGGUAAUGGGUAAAGAAGCACCGGCUAACUACGUG
rnacentral:rRNA from 1 species